rnacentral:rRNA from 1 species
UACGAAGGGGGCUAGCGUUGUUCGGAUUUACUGGGCGUAAAGCGCACGUAGGCGGACUAUUAAGUCAGGGGUGAAAUCCCGGGGCUCAACCCCGGAACUGCCUUUGAUACUGGUAGUCUUGAGUUCGAGAGAGGUGAGUGGAAUUCCGAGUGUAGAGGUGAAAUUCGUAGAUAUUCGGAGGAACACCAGUGGCGAAGGCGGCUCACUGGCUCGAUACUGACGCUAAAAUGCGAAAGCGUGGGGAGCAAACAGG